AGCGAACGCUGGCGGCAUGCCUAACACAUGCAAGUCGAACGAGACCUUCGGGUCUAGUGGCGCACGGGUGCGUAACGCGUGGGAACCUGCCCUUAGGUUCGGAAUAACUCCCCGAAAGGGGUGCUAAUACCGGAUAAUGUCUUCGGACCAAAGAUUUAUCGCCUUUGGACGGGCCCGCGUUGGAUUAGCUAGUUGGUAGGGUAAAAGCCUACCAAGGCGACGAUCCAUAGCUGGUCUGAGAGGAUGAUCAGCCACACUGGGACUGAGACACGGCCCAGACUCCUACGGGAGGCAGCAGUGGGGAAUAUUGGACAAUGGGCGAAAGCCUGAUCCAGCAAUGCCGCGUGAGUGAUGAAGGCCUUAGGGUUGUAAAGCUCUUUUACCCGGGAUGAUAAUGACAGUACCGGGAGAAUAAGCUCCGGCUAACUCCGUG
rnacentral:rRNA from 1 species